rnacentral:rRNA from 1 species
CAUGACCGCAUACUUAAUUGCUAGACUGAAUUGUCUGACUAAUUCCGAUAACGAACGAAACUCGAAUAUAUUAAAUAUGUUGCGUUUAAGAUGACGGUGUUGAAGCUGUACGAGCCUUAACAUACGAGCCUAGUAAAAUCUAUGAGUGCUUGAAUGUGUGUGCACCUGCUAGUUUAUUCUUUUAUAGGACACUAGCUUCUUAAAUAGACAUAUUGCGUACAGCAAUAAUGAGAUUAAGCACUAAGAGAUCUCUGA